rnacentral:lncRNA from 1 species
GUGAUCCACCUGCCUUGGCCUCCCAAAGUGCUGGGAUUACAGGCAUGAGCCACUGUGCCUGGCCUAGAUUUGUUUUUUAGUCUGUGUUUGAGGGCUCUGGAUGAAAUUUGCCAAGGCUGUUGCACAUCUAGACAGUGACAUCAUAUACAUGUUAUGGAAAGAAGAAGGUGAAGUCAUAGAGGAGCAGGGAAUUCCCGCCGACAGGCAGUGUUUGCCCAGAGCCAAGGGAGUGGGAGGUACCCAGCAACAGAGGACGGUACCCACUGGGGCUAGGAAGGCUUUCUAGAUGGGGAGGAGAUGUGUGAAGAAGACAAAGUUAGUCAUGGAGACUCCCCUCUGCCGCCGAAAUGUCUUCUUUUGGUAACUGGCCCCAGUUAGGAGACUGUAUUAGUUUUCUGUUGCUGCGUAACAAAUGACCACACAAUGUGGCAGCAUAAACCAGCAUCCAUUUAUCAUCUCAUAGUUCCAUAGGUCAGAAGUCCAGGCAGGCUCUACCAGGCCCCCUGCUCAGGACCUGGAAAGGCUGAAAUCAAGGUGUGAGGGGGCCAGGCACUCAUCCAGAAGUUCCAGGAAAGAACCCACUUCCAAGCUCAUGGAGGUGGGGGCGAUUCCAUCCUUUCAGCUGUAGGAUGAGGCCCCGGUUUCCCUGCUGGCUGUCUGCUGGGUGCUGCUCUCCACUCCUAGAGGCCACUCUCUGGUCCUUUCCAUGUGGCCCCUCCAUUUCCAAUCUAGCAACAGUGCAUCAAAUCCCCCUCCUAUUUUAAGUACCUGACUUGCUCUUCUGUUACCACCUGGAGAAAACAGUCUGUUUUUUGA